rnacentral:rRNA from 1 species
UACGUAGGGUGCAAGCGUUGUCCGGAAUUAUUGGGCGUAAAGAGCUCGUAGGCGGUCUGUCGCGUCUGCUGUGAAAACUCAGGGCUUAACCCUGAGCUUGCAGUGGGUACGGGCAGACUAGAGUGCGGUAGGGGAGACUGGAAUUCCUGGUGUAGCGGUGAAAUGCGCAGAUAUCAGGAGGAACACCCGUGGCGAAGGCGGCUCCCUGGUCCGUUUCUGACGCUGAGACGCGAAAGCGCGGGGAGCGAACGGG